rnacentral:rRNA from 1 species
CCUACGGGAGGCAGCAGUGGGGGAUAUUGCACAAUGGGGGGAACCCUGAUGCAGCGACGCCGCGUGGGUGAAGAAGCGCCUCGGCGCGUAAAGCCCUGUCAGCAGGGAAGAAAAUGACGGUACCUGACGAAGAAGCCCCGGCUAACUACGUGCCAGCAGCCGCGGUAAUACGUAGGGGGCAAGCGUUAUCCGGACUUACUGGGUGUAAAGGGGGCGCAGACGGCGAUGCAAGCCAGGAGUGAAAGCCCGGGGCCCAACCCCGGGACUGCUCUUGGAACUGCGUGGCUGGAGUGCAGGAGGGGCAGGCGGAAUUCCUGGUGUAGCGGUGAAAUGCGUAGAUAUCAGGAGGAACACCGGUGGCGAAGGCGGCCUGCUGGACUGCAACUGACGUUGAGGCCCGAAAGCGUGGGGAGCAAACAGGAUUAGAUACCCGAGUAGUC